UUAACAAUAUAUCAUAACAACUUAAAAAGAUCAAAAUCUACAGAAGAGAUUAACAAAUAACAUUGGUGUUGCUAUGUAUGCCAAUAGGCAAAACACAUCUGCUUUUCCUCUAGAUCACUUUACAGUGUGAUGGAAAUAAACUUUUCUUAAAGCGUGUUGUAUAUCACCACAGCUUUAUUGGCACCCUUCUAUAUGUGUUGUAUACUGUAAUAGACAAUUGUCCUGCAAAAUGAUGAGGUUUCGUAAAAACAAAACAAAAAAACAUUGCGAGCAAAUGUCGAAUUGUGUUUUGAAAUUUAAAUCAACAACAUAAGAGGCUUCAGGCUGUCUGAUGAACUCUGUAUGAACAAACACCCAGCUUUGCAGUAUAGGUGGCACAGAAACAGCAUCUGACCUGGCAUUUAGAUGUACUUUACACACUGUCUAUUGCAGCUCAAAGGAGGCACUGUGAAUUUACAUAGCAAUUUCAUUCUAAGAGGCUAUUAAAUGUGAAGUGACAACAUGAAACACUACUUUCAAUAUAUAAAAAAAAAACACCAGCAGUUGGUGGCAAGUCACCCUGAUAAUGAUUAAAUACCAAUUUACACAUUUAGGCUCACAAUAAGCAGAUUACAUAAUUAUACCAUGAAAAAAAAUUAAAUAAAUAUAUGUGUGUGUGUGUGUGUGUGUGUGUGUGUGUGUGUGUGUGUGUGUGUGUGUGUGUGUGUGUGUGUAAAAGCAGCAAGUCCAGUCCUGGCUGUAUAAUCAAACAAUAAAAACGAGAAACAAUGCAUGCCAUCAAGAAAAUUUUUUAUUCCACAGGAACUUGAUCCAGUUCACUUGUUAAAGGAUACUCCACUUUAAAAUAAAUUCUGUCAUCAUA